UACGGAGGGGGCUAGCGUUGCUCGGAAUCACUGGGCGUAAAGCGCACGUAGGCGGAUCUUUAAGUCAGGGGUGAAAUCCUGGAGCUCAACUCCAGAACUGCCUUUGAUACUGGGGAUCUCGAGUCCGGAAGAGGUGAGUGGAACUCCGAGUGUAGAGGUGAAAUUCGUAGAUAUUCGGAAGAACACCAGUGGCGAAGGCGGCUCACUGGUCCGGUACUGACGCUGAGGUGCGAAAGCGUGGGGAGCAAACAGG
rnacentral:rRNA from 1 species